rnacentral:rRNA from 1 species
AACGCGAAGAACCUUACCAGCCUUUGACAUCCCGGUCGCGGGCACCAGAGAUGGAGCCCUUCAGUUCGGCUGGACCGGAGACAGGUGCUGCAUGGCUGUCGUCAGCUCGUGUCGUGAGAUGUUGGGUUAAGUCCCGCAACGAGCGCAACCCUCGCCCUUAGUUGCCAUCAUUUAGUUGGGCACUCUAAGGGGACUGCCGGUGAUAAGCCGGAGGAAGGUGGGGAUGACGUCAAGUCCUCAUGGCCCUUACAGGCUGGGCUACACACGUGCUACAAUGGCGGUGACAGAGGGAUGCAAGGGAGCAAUCCUCAGCAAAUCUCCAAAAGCCGUCUCAGUUCGGAUUGUGCUCUGCAACUCGAGCACAUGAAGUUGGAAUCGCUAGUAAUCGCAGAUCAGCACGCUGCGGUGAAUACGUUCCCGGGCCUUGUA